AGAGCUGGAGCCCUUAGGUGCCUGGAGAUACUUCUCUUCCUUGUGUUCCCAGGGCCUCCUUCUGCAUAGCAGAAGAGCUUAGGUAGUCUGACUGCCUCUUGGGCCUCUGUGGACCCCUGAACAGGAUUUCCCUGGUGUCCGAGGCUCAGCGGCCCUUCUCUCUGCUCCCAGGACCUUGGAAUCUGGUCCCAGGGCUCUCUUCCUCUGCCCCUCUCAGGGCAGUAUGCCUUUGCUUUGCAGAGCCCCUCCAUGACCUUUCCCAAGUGGCUGUCCCACCCAGUGCCUUGUGAGCAGCCCGCUCCCCUCCUUGAGGGUCUCCCAAACCCCAGCAGCGUAUCCUCCGAGGUGCAGCAGAUGUGGGCGCUGACGGAGAUGAUCCGGGCCAGUCACACCUCCACAAGGAUCGGCCGCUUUGAUGUGGAUGGCUGUUAUGACCUGAACUUGCUCUCCUAUACUUGAGCUGUGGCUCUUAACCAAGACGUGGACCUUCCGUGCCCAUCUAGGCCUGGUUUGGGCCAUCAGAGGCUGAAGUGCUUUCCCUGUGCAUUCCAAAUGUUGCCUGCAUGCCUGUUCUGUCUGGGCCACAUUCACAGAUUCAGGAUUCCUGGGGGCUCGGGCUCACUGUGUUUCUUCAGCAUGAGCUCCCAGUGGGAGUACAUUGUCCUCACCUGACUGCAACCCAAUACUCCUCCUUUUCCUACCCUAAAAACUCUCCAGUUUUAUUUAUUAAGACUCCCCAUGUGCCCUCUGUCCUCCUGCUGACAUGCACACUCCUGUCUUCUGCUUGCUCCCUCACCUGAGUGCAGUGGGCGGGGGUGAUCUACUAGAGCCUGCUCUAGCUAUCUAGCCUUGGAAGGCUGCUGUAGCCAUGGCACUCUUGUAGCUUGGAAACUUGAGGGAGAAACAGGAGCCCAUUUCUUCCUUCUGCGCCCCCUAGUGGUCUUUCCCUUUGUGUUAUGCAUGGAAAAAGAAAUUUCCUGUCUCAACUCCUGCUUGCUUCCUAGGGAGCAAAGCUGGGGAUUUGGGAUGCCCAAGUCCCUGGGUCUCGGAGCUGGCACCUGAAUGGGUCUGCCCGAUGCAUCCUGGGUAGGUGCCUCUGUCAAGGCUGGGGCCCGAGAGUGAGUCCUGAAACCUGUUUGCCACCUGACACAGCCCAAAGCACAUCCUUGUCCCUUCUCCCUGGUGCUCCCUUCCAAAAGUCAUGCUCAGUGUGGUGAGGGAUCAUGGUGGGGGGGUGGGUCCAGGUGAGGGUUCUCCCUGGUAUCUUUUAAGAGGCUAAGUUCCUCUACAUCCCCAGGUCAGCUGCUGAAUAAGGUAGAUUACUCUGAUGGGAAAAUCCUGCUCUUCUCUGGUGUUUCCUGACUUUGCCCCUCGGGGCUAUUAUGAGAUAGUACUGCAACAUGUGUUGGACCUGGAAAAUAGGACGUUUGUGUGGCUCGACAACUUUCUGGGGGAAGGUCAGCCCUCUGCUCUCACCUGUCAGUGUUCUGGCAGGUGGCAUCUCUCCCUGCCGGGUCAUUUACUUCGCUCCAUUCAGCUUUUGCUAAGAGGAUAAUGACCGUAGUCCUGUGCUCAGGGAGUACUGGCCGUGUGUGUGUGUGUGUGUGUGUGUGUGUGUGUGUGUGUGUGUGUG